ACGUACGCUGGCGGCACGCCUAACACAUGCAAGUCGAACGAAGUAGCAAUACUUAGUGGCAGACGGGUGAGUAACAUGUGGGUAUCUGCCCUUUGGCCUGGAAUAACACGAGGAAACUUGUGCUAAUACCGGAUAAGUCUUUACGGAGAAAGCUUUAUGCACCAUUGGAUGAGCCCGCACUUGAUUAGUUAGUUGGUAGGGUAAUGGCCUACCAAGACUGUGAUCAAUAGCUGAUUUGAGAGGAUGAUCAGCCACAUUGGGACUGAGACACGGCCCAAACUCCUACGGGAGGCAGCAGUGGGGAAUCUUGCACAAUGGAGGAAACUCUGAUGCAGCGAUGCCGCGUGAGUGAAGAAGGCCCUUGGGUUGUAAAGCUCUUUCGUCGGGGAAGAAAAUGACUGUACCCGAAUAAGAAGGUCCGGCUAACUUCGUGCCAGCAGCCGCGGUAAUACGAAGGGACCUAGCGUAGUUCGGAAUUACUGGGCUUAAAGAGUUCGUAGGUGGUUGAAAAAGUUAGUGGUGAAAUCCCAGAGCUUAACUCUGGAACUGCCAUUAAAACUUUUCAGCUAGAGUAUGAUAGAGGAAAGCAGAAUUUCUAGUGUAGAGGUGAAAUUCGUAGAUAUUAGAAAGAAUACCAAUUGCGAAGGCAGCUCUACUGGAUCAUUA
rnacentral:rRNA from 1 species